rnacentral:rRNA from 1 species
GAUGAACGCUAGCUACAGGCUUAACACAUGCAAGUCGAGGGGCAGCAUUAUCUUAGCUUGCUAAGAUAGAUGGCGACCGGCGCACGGGUGAGUAACACGUAUCCAACCUUCCGGUUACUCGGGGAUAGGCUUUCGAAAGAAAGAUUAAUACCCGAUGUUGCGUAUCUUUCUCCUGAAAGAUACGCCAAAGGAUUCCGGUAACCGAUGGGGAUGCGUUCCAUUAGGCAGUUGGCGGGGUAACGGCCCACCAAGGCGACGAUCAGUAGCCGGACUGAGAGGUUGAUCGGCCACACUGGGACUGAGACACGGCCCAA